rnacentral:rRNA from 1 species
UUGGAGAGUUUGAUCCUGGCUCAGAACGAACGCUGGCGGCGUGCUUAACACAUGCAAGUCGAACGGUAACAGGGACUUCGGUCCGCUGACGAGUGGCGCACGGGUGAGUAACGCGUGGGUAUCUGCCUAUUAGUGGGGGACAACUUGGAGAAAUCCAAGCUAAUACCGCAUAAUCUCUACGGAGGAAAGCGGGGGAUCUUCGGACCUCGCGCUGAUAGAUGGGCCCGCGUCUGAUUAGCUAGUUGGUAAGGUAAUGGCUUACCAAGGCGAUGAUCAGUAACUGGUUUGAGAGGAUGAUCAGUCACACUGGAACUGAGACACGGUCCAGACUCCUACGGGAGGCAGCAGUGGGGAAUAUUGCACAAUGGGGGAAACCCUGAUGCAGCGACGCCGCGUGCGGGAAGAAGGCCUUAGGGUUGUAAACCGCUUUCAGAUGGGAAGAAGGGAUGAGAGUUAAUAACUCUCUGACUUGACGGUACCAUCAGAAGAAGCACCGGCUAAUUUCGUGCCAGCAGCCGCGGUAAUACGAAAGGUGCAAGCGUUGUUCGGAUUUACUGGGCGUAAAGAGAUCGUAGGUGGUUUAUUAAGUCGGAUGUGAAAUCCCGGGGCUCAACCCCGGAACUGCAUUCGAUACUGAUAGGCUAGAGUUCGGGAGGGGUAAGCGGAAUUCCGUGUGUAGCAGUGAAAUGCGUAGAUAUACGGAGGAACACCUGAGGCGAAGGCGGCUUACUGGACCAAUACUGACACUGAGGAUCGAAAGCGUGGGUAGC